rnacentral:lncRNA from 1 species
UCCUGACUAACGGAGGAGCAUCUGUUCACAUGCAAAUGACGGCUUGGGAGAAAUGUCACUUCCCUUCCUUUUCCCGGCUUACAGUUCCCUUGUCUUCCUUGCUGAGCUAAAUUUUAAUUUUUUACUUUUUUAUUGUUUUGAGAAAGAGUCUUGGUAGGGAGCGCAGGUUGAUUACAAACCCACCUUGCUCCUGCUGGGCUGCAGAGGUGGACCACCUACCUACUCUGCUGAGCUUAGCUUAUGGUUUCUUCACCUGUUCUCCAUACACAUUUUGUAUGGACUGACUGAUUUACAGAUCUUCUCCCUGAUCUGUGGCUUGUCUUUGACUUUUAGCAGUUUUCCUGCCGCACUGGGAUUUUACAUUUUGUCUGUUUUCUUAUUUGUACAGCAAGUUCAAUUCUGAAAUUAUAUGUAAAGUGGUCUUUUCUGUAUGUUCAGUGAGCUGGUUCCUGUUUUCUUUCCUUUCUUUUGUUUUUUUUUUUUUUUUUUUUUGUUUUUUCUUUUUCCAGAGCUGAGGACCGAACCCAGGGCCUUGUGCUUGCUAGGCAAGCGCUCUACCACUGAGCUAAAUCUCCAACCCCUUUUUCUUUUCUUUCUUUUUUUUUUCUUUUGGUUUUUUUGUUUCUUGUUUUUUGAAAUAAGGUAUUUCAGUGUAGCCCUGGCUAUCCUGGAACUUGCUGUGUAGACCAGGGAUCUCCAACUUAGAUAUCCGCCUGCCUCUGCCUCCCGAAUGCUGGGAUUAACGGCGUGCUCAGCCAGGUCUGACUGAUUUCUUAUUCUUAUUCAAUUCUUUCUCCUGGGCAUUUAAAAAAAAUUCUCAAAGAUGUCAACACUUUAUCUUUCUACCUUAUAUAUCUUAUAAAAUAAUUAAAUUUUGUAAAAUAUAGCAAAGAAAGUGAUGGCUCCCACUCCAGAGAAAACAUAUUUAUAACCAGAUCCCCCCUUUUGAGACUGGGUCUUUUAUAUUUAUUAUCUAUUAUUGUAAGUGGUGUGUGUGUGUGGUGUACAUAUUUGGGUGCAUGUGUAUAGAAGAGGGUUUUUAAAUGGGCAGGUGAUGCAUCCAUACAAUGCACAGAUUUUCUCUCUGUGUUUUUGUUUUCCUUGUUGACCUUGAACUACUGACCCUCCAGACACCACCUCCCAAGUUCUGGAUUAUAGGCAUGUGCUACCACAUCUGGCCUUAUUUAUUUUUAUUUCGAGACAAGGUAUCACUCUGUAACCUAGGCUGGUUUGGAACUCAUUGUGUAGUCCAGUGUGACUCUGAAAUUAGAGUAAUCAUGUUGCCAUGAGGAUAGUGUUUCACACCACUCCAUGUCUCUUAUAUUUUUCUUUCUCUUCCACUAUGUUCCCUGAGCCUUGGAGGGCGUGGUAUAGACAUUCCAUCUGUGGCUGAGCACUCUACAAUCUCUUAUUCUCACCACUUGUGAGCCUUUGCCGACUUCAAAGAGAAGAUCCUCUGACCCAGGCUGAGAGCUGCCCUAAUCUAUGGGUAUAAACAUAAAUAUUUAGAAGGCAGUAUGACGUCAUGUCCAUUUAGCAUUUACUAGGAAGGUCCCGCCCCAGUGCUAAUGAGCUUCCUGGGCAUGCACGUCUGUUCAGGUUUGUAGUACUGGGAGUGAGUUUUCUGGUGUAGUGGCCUCAACUCCAGUUAGAAGGUCUUGGUUACCGCCUUAAUAGUCAUGCCACUGUUGGGCCAGUGGGUGUGUCUCUACUGGCAGUUUUUAAUUGUAUACAGUUUGUAGAGUUCCCAGCUGGUUACGGCAGUUAAUGUCUUUCUCUUCCAGCAGCCUACAUAGCGUUUUCCAGCUCUAGGAAAGCUAACUCUCAGGAGGGGGCUUCCAGUCUAGUUCCACCUUGUUUCUGAAGAACUUCUUAUAGUAUACGUAGUUCUGGCUUGAUCUUUACUUUGUUUGUUUGUUUGCUGUUUGAGACAGGAUUUCAUGUAGACCAUGCUGGCCUUGAACUCACCCUAUACCACAGGAUGAACCUGAACUUCUAAUCUUCCCACCUCUACCUCUUAAGUACUGGGGUUGCAGGUGUGUGCCACACCCAGUUCCUGGGGUGCUGAAGAUGGAUCUGAGCCACUGCUCUGCCAGCUGUGUCACUGCCCUAGCGUCUGGCUCGGACUGUCUUUAAACCUCACUCCAGGCUUGCGGGAUGACUGGAAGGCUAAGAUCACUUACUACUGUCUGAGAAGUCAGCUUUUAGCAGGAUGAGGUAGCUCAGGCCUUUAUUAAUCGGAGCACUCAGAAGACAAAGGCAGGUGGAGCUCUGGGAGUUGGAGGCUAGCUGCUCUACAGAGUGAGCUCCUGAACAGCCAGGGCUACAGGAGUGAAACCCCGACUUACAAACUUUAAAAGGGGGAAAAG